GCCGGCUCCCUCGUGCACGGGGCCUUCUUGGAGUUUCACAUCCUCUUGGCCAGCCUGGACCUCCAGAUCAGCGGAAGGGGGCUGAAUGCUGAGGUCAGUGGUCUUGAGGUCCCCCUGCAUGGAGGGGAGGCUCACGUCGGCCUCCACCUUCAGCGCAGACACAUCCACCGAGGCCUCCAUGGACUUGACUGGGGCUGAAGCCCCAAACGAUGGCAUCUUGAACUUGGGCAUUUUGAACUUGCUGUCUUUGGUGGCCACUUCCUUUUCUUUCAGAAUUUGUUCCUUUUUUAAGCGUUUUUCGUCGUGUAUUAGUUGUAUUUUUGUUGUGUUUUGUCAUUGAGUCACUGUCUUCUUUGUCUUUUAAUCCUUCCUCUGUGCGUCUCUGUUCUCUUCUAUCAGCUGUUGCUGUGGCCUCUCCUUCCUUUCCCUGCUCUGUGUCUUCUGUGGCUUUUUCUCUGCCUGUCUUUGUGUGCUUGCUUGGCGACCAUCCUAAGGAGGGUAUCUUGAACUUGGGCAUUCUUAUCUGUCCUUCUGUGUCUUCCCCGCCCUUGUCCUGUUCCUCAGUGAUCCCUGUCCUCUGUAGUCCUUCCUCUCCAUCUCCUUCACCCUCCUGUGCUUCUGCAUGUGUGGGUGGUUCCCUGCCCGGCACCCACCCUGCUCCUUCCACCUCCUCACCCUUCAGGCCAGUACCCGCUUUUGAGGACGCAUCCUGUCUCUUCCCUCGCUGUGGGGUACUAAGGCGCCUUUCUCCUUCUGGCUCUUUUUCUGUGGAAAAUGCAAAUUUUGGUGUCUUUAAAUCGUGUAUUCGCACCCUAAUUUCUGGUGGGCCAAUCUGUGUGCCUCCUUCGGUUGUGUCUCUCAAGGACAGUCUGGCGAUCCCGAUUUCCAGGCUCUGCAGUCCCUCGCCUUCACCCUCCCAGCUCAUUCCAGGAGUUGGCUGGGCCCUGGGCUUCCUCUGGGCCACUGCUGUCUCCUGUGCCUGCCCCUCCAGGGUCUUUCCGUGGAGCCUGGCUGCCCUGAGUCCCCCUUCCUGAGGGGUUCCCUCGCAAAGUCUAGGGUCGCCGAGCUCUGUGGGCAACUGCAUGCUCUGAGCAGGCAUCACUUCUCGAUCCUGUUCUGCCCUCUCCUCUCUCCUCCUGCCUGUGGCAGCCCCAGUGUCCUCGAGGCUAACACCCCAGGGCCCCAACUCUUCCAGGACCCCAGCACGGCCCACCCCACUCUGGGACCCCCUGCCUGGCUGUCCUGUCGAUGAAGGGUCCUGUCCUGAGCCUGUCCUGAAUCUCAGGUUGAGGAACUUCCGCCUCCUCUGGCUGCCCGGCCCUGCCUUCUGCUCUUGGCGCUCCACCGUGAGCUGGGCCUCUGUGUCUGUGCUUGUAGGGGACACGUCAUGUGCGUCCCUGGGCUCGUAGGCCUCUGAUGAGCUGUGUGACCUCUGGGGUCCUGGCCCCCGCUUGCUCUUUAUGGAUUGAAAUUUUGGCCAAGAGAGCCUCUCCCUCUGGGUCUGCCUGCUUCUCCCCACCCUGGGUUUGGAGAUGAGUCUCUCUUGGUCCCCAUCUCCUUCCAGAGUUUUCGUGGGGGUCUCUCUGCACCCAUCAGCAACA
rnacentral:lncRNA from 1 species